GGAUGGGGCUCAGGGGUAAAGCACACGCCUUGCAUGUGUGAGGCCCUGGGUUCGAUCCUCAGCACCA
rnacentral:tRNA from 1 species